rnacentral:rRNA from 1 species
UUCGCCCUUAGAGUUUGAUCUUGGCUCAGGACGAACGCUGGCGGCGUGCUUAACACAUGCAAGUCGAACGGAGCGCCUAUGAAGGAGAUUUCCGUCAACGGAAUAGGUUGCUUAGUGGCGGACGGGUGAGUAACGCGUGAGGAACCUGCCUUUCAGAGGGGGACAACAGGUGGAAACGACUGCUAAUACCGCAUAACACAUAGGUGCCGCAUGGCAUUUUAUGUCAAAGAUUUAUCGCUGAAAGAUGGCCUCGCGUCUGAUUAGCUAGUUGGUGAGGUAACGGCUCCACCAAGAGCGACGAUCAGUAGCCGGACUGAGAGAGUUGGCCGGCCACAUUGGGACUGAGAUACGGCCCAGACUCCUACGGGAGGCAGCAGUGGGGAAUAUUGGGCAAUGGGCGCAAGCCUGACCCAGCAACGCCGCGUGAAGGAAGAAGGCUUUUGGGUUGUAAACUUCUUUUGACAGGGAAGAGUAGAAGACGGUACCUGUCGAAUAAGCCUACGGCUAACUACGUGCCAGCAGCCGCGGUAAUACGUAGGUGGCAAGCGUUGUCCGGAUUUACUGGGUGUAAAGGGCGUGUAGCGGGGUUGACAAGUCAGAUGUGAAAUCCUGCGGCUUAACCGCAGAAUUGCAUUUGAAACUGUUGAUCUUGAGUACUGGAGAGGCAGACGGAAUUCCUAGUGUAGCGGUGAAAUGCGUGGAUAUUAGGAGGAACACCAGUGGCGAAGGCGGUCUGCUGGACAGCAACUGACGGUGAGGCGCGAAAGCGUGGGGAGCAAACAGGAUUAGAUACCCUGGUAGUCCACGCUGUAAACGAUGGAUACUAGGUGUGCGGGGACUGUCCCCCUGCGUGCUGCAGCUAACGCAAUAAGUAUCCCACCUGGGGAGUACGAUCGCAAGGUUGAAACUCAAAGGAAUUGACGGGGGCCCGCACAAGCGGUGGAUUAUGUGGUUUAAUUCGAUGCAACGCGAAGAACCUUCCCAGGGCUUGACAUCCUUCUAACGAAGUAGAGAUACAUUAGGUACCCUUCGGGGGAAGUAGAGACAGGUGGUGCAUGGUUGUCGUCAGCUCGUGUCGUGAGAUGUUGGGUUAAGUCCCGCAACGAGCGCAACCCUUAUUGUUAGUUGCUACGCAAGAGCACUCUAGCGAGACUGCCGUUGACAAAACGGAGGAAGGUGGGGACGACGUCAAAUCAUCAUGCCCCUUAUGUCCUGGGCUACACACGUAAUACAAUGGCGGCCAACAGAGGGAUGCAAAGCUGUGAAGUGGAGCGAACCCCUAAAAGCCGUCCCAGUUCAGAUUGCAGUCUGCAACUCGCCUGCAUGAAGUCGGAAUCGCUAGUAAUCGCGGAUCAGCAUGCCGCGGUGAAUACAUUCCCGGGCCUUGCACACACCGCCCGUCA